rnacentral:rRNA from 1 species
UACGAAGGGUGCAAGCGUUACUCGGAAUUACUGGGCGUAAAGCGUGCGUAGGCGGUUUGUUAAGUCUGUCGUGAAAGCCCUGGGCUCAACCUGGGAAUUGCGAUGGAUACUGGCAAGCUAGAGUACGGUAGAGGAUGGUGGAAUUCCCGGUGUAGCGGUGAAAUGCGUAGAGAUCAUGAGGAAGACCAGUGGCGAAGGCGGGUCUCUGGACAGUUCCUGACACUGAGGCACGAAGGCCAGGGGGAGCAAACGGGG